CUGGCAGUUAUCUCUGGAAUCGGCUGGAACGUUAGUGCUUACGCCCCAGCUCUCUUCCCCGUUGGAUGGUGAUGUUGGAGAACCCUCGUCCGCUCAGGCUGCAGUGGGUCACUGUGUCUCCCAGCCCCGGGGAGGGGAACAGCCCUGUGCUGUUGCCUCCUUUCGCCUCUCUGGAUGCAGUCGGUUCUUCCCUCUGUUGGUCUCUUCUGGAUAACUGCAGAACCUCUUAAGACUCUCCGUUUGGCAGAGUGUGAUCCUCGCUUGUUGAACAAAGUCAGAAAAAGACUUUGCUUCCAACGAUGUCCUCAGCGAUAUCUGGAGCCUAAGUCCCGCGUUGCCUUCCCGUCUUCUAGGGCAAUAGAUGAUGGUGAAGAUUCUUCAGAACUCCGGCCAAGUUCCCCUUUGCAGCUCUUCUUGCAGCUCCAGCGAACAUCUCCCGUCUAACCCUUCUGUGCUGCCGCUUUUACACUCUCUCCUUCACACACACAUCUGGCUAGGUACGCCCCUGACACCGUCUAACUUAUGCAAUCGACUUGUCAUCACAUACAGCAGUAAUACAGAAGUCAUGUUGUUACAGCAAAUACACAGUGUCCACAUUCUGUUUAACACACACAUAUUUCAGCCGGCCUUUUUGGGUUUUCCCAAACUUCCCUUUUUUUCUGAGGAGGUUGCUGUGUCACCGUGGCUGCCGAGUCAUGGUGACUAUUGUUUACUGCACUUCUGCUUUUUUAAGUCCUGCACACACACAGAGCCUAGACAAGGAUUACUUUACACAGAAACACUCUUUAAAUCAUUCUUCUUGAUCUAAACAUAAUAAAUCAUUUGAAUCAUUACUUUAAUCAAAUCAACACUCUAAAAAUAUAUAUAUAUAUUUCAGCAAGCAUCAUGUGGUUAACCCUUUAAGCUUCAGUCAAUUCCAGCCGUUUUCAGUACAAAAAAUCGCUAAUAUUCUAUUUUUAAAUAAAAAAAAUUACGAAAAAUACGGGGAAUAUUGGACGCGCAUCGGGAGGUGCAUUUCCUUGAAAAGGACCGAUUCGUGGAUUUUAUACCGACUUCAGGACAUGUUUUGGACAAAAUAGUUUACUGGCUUGUGUUGUCUGGAUGUAAAAGGUUGGAUUAUGGCCGUUUUUUGUGGAAUCUUUUUUUCUGUGUGUAAUAAUGAACCCGGAAAUGUGAGUCGCGCUGUGUGCGUUGAAGCCGUGUAUAGAGAACGGAUGGAUGAAUAUUUGUUUUUGUCGGACAAAUGUGUUUUUCUCACCCGCUGUGGUAAUCACAUCUGAAAGUGGUUUAUACCGGCGGAUUCAUGAGAAUCUAAGCUUUCCAUCGGCAUAUAGUGUUUGUAUAAUCGGGUUUGCAGCCGUCGGACAUUCUUGAAAUUCCUAUGCAAAUUAGUAAGUGUACCGCCGCCGGUACACCUACGACGCACUGAAGCGUAAAGGGUUAAAGUACAAGUGUAAUGUUUAAAUCCACAUUUCAGAGCCACUGGAUGAUAUGUAAUGUUUUUUCCCCACCCUCGUUUAAUUAGCCAAGAUUAGCAAAGCUGGACCAUGUCGGAUCCUGAACGGCAACACAACGGUGCACCACAUCCACAUGUACAACAUUGUGGUCUUUGGUGGAGUGGAUGGCUACUCAAGGAAGGUCUUGUACUUGGAUGCUGCAACAAAUAACAAUGCACAAGCUGCAUUCUCAUUCUUCAUCACAUCGGUCCAGCUUCAUGGCUUACCGUCAAGGGUUAGGGCAGAUCAGGGAGUAGAAAACCUGGAUAUUGCACAUUUCAUGUUUGCCACACGAGGAACAGGAAGAUCGAGCUUCAUCUCUGGAAAAAGUACCAUGACAUUCUUCACUCUCUGGAAGAGGAUGGUCUACUUGACAUAUCUGAUGCCACUCUUCUCUUUGGUGUGCACUACGUCUUUGUCCCUCGACUCUGGGCAGAUCUUGAUACCUUUAUUGAAGGAUGGAAUAAUCAUUCUCUGCGGACAGAGGGAGGUCUCACCCCUGAACAGCUGUGGUGCAUGGGACGUCUACAAGAUCUGGAUGAGGGGGAGAGACUCGAGGUUCAAUGUAAAAACAAGUAGAACACGUAUUUUAAGAAGUUGAGUUGUAAGACUGAGCAGUACGUAUCUGCUACGCAUUCUGAAAGAUUAGACUAUUACAGACUGUAGUUUACAAAGCCCACAUAUUUUCAUAAAAUGAAGAGUACUGUACUGUUUAUAAGGCCUGAAUCAGGAAAUAUGUCAUGAUUUGUGGGAUGAUCCUGAUUUUUUUUCGUUUCUACUUCUAAUGAAGUAAUUUCUAUGCUGAUGAAUAAAAAUAAAGCAUCAGUUUUUGUAAUGUUGUGUUUAUUAUUUAAAAAAAAACACACACAAAUACCAAAACUGUAUUUCAACAAGUAUCCAUUCCUGACUGAUAUGUUUUGAAUUCAAAGGACCUUCAGGACCCAGGCGUUGACUGGGAGAGUGCUGUGCUGCAGGAAGACUCUCAUGGCACAGUUGUGGUUCCUGAAUUUGAGUGCAGUGAAGAGGAAGUCAAACACUGUCUGAGCUAACAGGAACAAUUGUUUUGCUUUUUUCAUUAGUGAUGAACAUAUUCUAUCAGUUAAUGUUUAGAAAUAGCUUCUCAUUUUUUGUUUCAGAUUACCAGAGGGCUAUUUCUGUCAAACUCUGUGGAAGCCACCACCAUAUCUAACUGCUUCACUCAUAAGUCUUCUGAAUUCAGUGAGUCGUCCAAAUGGCUCCCACUGCCAAACUCAGUUUCCAGAAGCAAAAACAAGAGCUGGAGCUGGCCAAACAAAAAAUAGCAUCUCAGGAAGACAAGAUCAUCGAACUGACCAGGGAGAGAGAAUUCUUACGAGAGCAACUGUCAAAGUCAUCACAAGCCUCCAGGAUCAUAAAUGAUGGGCCUUCUCCUGACCCGUCUGUCAUGCCAGCUUCUUCUUUUGACUCAUCUACAUCAGCUGCAGAGAGUUGCUCUUCCACUGACGACUACUCCUCAGAUUCCUCAAGUUCUACCAUAUCUUCAGACAAUGUCAAGAAGAAGAGGAAAAGGAGAAGGUCAAAAAAUACAAAGAAGAAAGGGAAGAAACGAAUAAGGGAGAAAGAAAGCAAGAGAAACACACGAAAGUGUUUUGCAAGAGGUAAUGGUUACUUGUAUGUACCCAAGAAAUUCAUGCCAAUGGCUAUAAUUUUAGUGUCCUAAAUUAAGCUCAUGCGAAUACAUGAAUGAAUUAUUACUCAGUACAAAGUAAUUGUAUUGCAUGUGACAUGCACAAGGUUUGAACAUUUGUUUGGUUUGAUUGCAAGUGUAGGCAGACAUCCAGAUUCAAGAGGCCCCAACAUUCCUCAGGAACAUCAUCUCACAGGAAAAACAAAACUCUCUCCUCUCAGAAAGCUUAAACAAACAGUCUAAGAGCCCAAAGUGGAUUUUUAUGGCUUCAGAAACAUCUGCACCUUCCACCAAAAGCCUCGUAAAAUUCAUUUACGGGGACCUGUGACCUGGCCAGAAAACCCCUUUUUGCAGACUCUCACAUGUAUUGUUGUAUUUGUAUGUUUUCCUGUAUUCCUACCUUCACAGAAGACACUGAGACCCCUUGCAGGGAACUGAAGGGGACACAAAUGUCUCACACCUUCCUAAAUUUGCAUUUAAAGGACUGUUUAUUCCCUUUUGGUUCCUAUCCUUUAAUUAACUGAACUCAUCUUCACAGAUGCCAUGCAGUCUCCCUCCCUCUCGAUCAGAUACCGAGAGUCAUAAAUACCUAAGGACCUUUCCGUCACCCCGGGAGGGCUGCAGAAAGACACUCAGUCUGUUUGCUGCCCAUAAGGACACUCUUUCUAAAAAUCAUGCUUCUGAAAUUUAUCUUGAGAUUUUGAAGUUAUCAAAGUUGAAAUAAUAAUUUGUUAUACAUGUUGGUCCAACUCUGACGUCUCUAGCAUAUUCCUGUCCUGAGAUAUUAAUUCUUAAAGUUUAUUGUCUUCCUGACCCAUUUCUUCCACAGCUCAACAUUGCCCCCUAUUGACAUCGGAAUACCAUGACAUUAUCAAGGAAUUCACUGAAAUUAAUCAGAAAAUUGUGUUUUAUACAGGUCGAAAAGAGUUGGAAAUUGUUUAUUUACUACCUUAUGUACACCAUGUUGUCAUAUGUACACUGUGACCCACAUAAUCACUAGAUAGAGUACACAAACCUAUAAUUAAACAAAUAACUCACAUAUUUUUGGUAGCUAGCAUGUUUUAUCGUGUUAUACACUUUGAUUGUGCUAAAAGUAGUGUCCUGGAUUAUGACAGAGUAAACAGAUCACUUUUUGCGCGUUUUAAUAUUUUUAAUUCCCUAUCUGAUCAGCUCUUAUCUCCUAUCCGGAGCCCCCAGGGAGGAGGAUCCCCCAGGGUCUCAAACUCGCGCUUAAACUUCUAGUUCCCCGCCUCCUUUAGCCAAAAAAACUAUAAGAAGCUUCACGCUUCUUUGUUCUCUCUCUCUUACCCUCUUACGACUCUUACGCUCUUACUUCUUUUAACUCGCUACAAGAACUACGUUAAGCGAAUCUUUUUCUUUAGGCGCGCCCUUCUUUUUCUUCCUCUCCAAAACUUUACUCAUCACGGUUAUAGAGUCUGGCCCUCUGUUAACCACAACUUCUUAUUCAAUUUUUCUUGUUGUUCUGAAUAGAUAUUUUUGCUCAUCUCCAACAACUAGAUCUACAAUUUUGUUUUAUCUGCGAUUUAUUUUUGAUAGGAACCAAUUCGAUUUUGUUCCGUCGUUUUUAUGCUUCCCGCUGAAGAGUUCCAGUCUGUGUGGCCUCAGCUGCACUGACCGGCAGAAAUAGAACGUGAACCUUCAGCCUUCCAGACAAUUAUUUUUGACAAAGUCAACCCAGAAGAACGCAGGCUGUUCCAGCCCUCGCCACUGUCAGCUGACCACCAGACAAACCGGGUCAAGCCAGACCCCCUUGGACACUCGAGGUUUGAAGCAGGCAGGACGACGAAGCGUUGCCAUAGCAGCCAAACAGCGCGGUGGCCUGCCCUCCUCUCGGAACCAAUGAGCGCCGCGCCACAGCAACCACAUCCCAGUCUCUGAGCUUCGAGUGAUCCCUCUUCUCCAACGCAAAGUAAGACCAGCUGACGUGUGAUCUAAGCUAAUGGUUGAUGUCAAAAAUAAUAGCUUGAUUUAAUAUUAAUCACUCCGUUUAAUCACUUACCUGUCGUUCAUAUUCCAAAUUAUUAAACUCCUCGAUAUUUUUUUACGCGGUCUGAUUACUCAGUGCCAUAAUCUCAGAUUAGAGAUGCAAAUAUAAAUAACCUACACUCACACACACGCACCUACACCCACACACACACACACACACACACACACACACACACCUACACCCACAGCAUUUAUUCAUUCCAUAUUUGUCACUGUAUUAAUCCCUGUGUUUAUCAUUAUAUUGGUUAAUAAAUA